rnacentral:rRNA from 1 species
GGUUAAGCGACUAAGCGUAUACGGUGGAUGCCUUGGCAGUCAGAGGCGAUGAAGGACGUGUUAAUCUGCGAAAAGCUGUGGUGAGGUGAUAAAACCCGUUGAGCCACAGAUAUCCGAAUGGGGCAACCCAGCUGCAUAAGCAGCUAUCUGCAUGUGAAUCCAUAGCAUGCAGAGGCGAACCGGGAGAACUGAAACAUCUAAGUACCCCGAGGAAAAGAAAUCAACCGAGAUUCCCCUAGUAGCGGCGAGCGAACGGGGAGUAGCCCUUAAGUCAUUGGGGUGUUAGUGGAAGGUGUUGGAAAGCACCACGGUACAGGGUGAUAGUCCCGUACACGACAACUAACCGAUGAUGAAAACGAGUAAGGCGACACACGUGGUAUGUUGUCUGAAGAUGGGGGGACCAUCCUCCAAGGCUAAAUACUCCUGACUGACCGAUAGUGAACCAGUACCGUGAGGGAAAGGCGAAAAGAACCCCAGUGAGGGGAGUGAAAUAGAACCUGAAACCGUAUACGUACAAGCAGUGGGAGCGGUCCUUGAGACCGUGACUGCGUACCUUUUGUAUAAUGGGUCAGCGACUUACAUUUAGUAGCGAGGUUAAGCGAAUAGCGGAGCCGUAGGGAAACCGAGUGUUAACUGCGCGAAUAGUUGCUAGGUGUAGACCCGAACCCCGGUGAUCUAGCCAUGGGCAGGUUGAAGAUUGAGUAACAUCAAUUGGAGGACCGAACACACGUCUGUUGAAAAAGACGGUGAUGACCUGUGGCUGGGGGUGAAAGGCCAAUCAAACCGGGAGAUAUCUGGUUCUCCUCGAAAGCUAUUUAGGUAGCGCCUCGAGCGAAUACCAUUGGGGGUAGAGCACUGUUAAGACUAGGGGGUCAUCCCGACUUACCAACUCUUUGCAAACUCCGAAUACCAAUGAGUACUACUCGGGAGACAGACGGCGGGUGCUAACGUCCGUCGUCAAAAGGGAAACAACCCAGACCGUCAGCUAAGGUCCCAAAGUUAUUGCUAAGUGGGAAACGAUGUGGGAAGGCUUAGACAGCUAGGAUGUUGGCUUAGAAGCAGCCAUCAUUUAAAGAAAGCGUAAUAGCUCACUAGUCGAGUCGGCCUGCGCGGAAGAUGUAACGGGGCUAAGCAAUACACCGAAGCUACGGGUUCACACUAUGUGUGAGCGGUAGAGGAGCGUUCUGUAAGCGGAUGAAGGUGAAGGGGUAACCCACACUGGACGUAUCAGAAGUGCGAAUGCUGACAUGAGUAACGAUAAUGGGGGUGAAAAACCUCCACGCCGAAAGACCAAGGGUUCCUGUCCAACGUUAAUCGGGGCAGGGUGAGUCGACCCCUAAGGCGAGGCCGAAAGGCGUAGUCGAUGGGAAACGGGUUAAUAUUCCCGUACUU